UGUUCCAACAGGUGGUAACGAUAUUGCUGCGAGCGUUCAUCAGUCGCAGGAGCUGGCAGCUGGCAGCCGUCACGCCGCGCAGCUGCUGUGGGAGACUGCUGCCUCCUGACCAGCUCCGCUCCGUGCUCAGCCAGGACGCCUGCCCCUGGGCACCUCUCCCGCUGUGGGGCCUCCCGAAGGGUCCCACCAGGCCUCGCCAUCAGCUUCGGUGCUCACCGGUGCAGCGUGCGGACCACAGCCAGCAGGUCAGGCUUGGCUUUUCCUGCACACGGACACGGAGCCUGCAGAGCCAGCCCAUGGUUAAACAUAAAUAAUUGAGCAAGAAAGAGAACAGUCUGCUCCCAACGAGAAGAGAGGAUCCAUCCACAACAGCCAUGAAGUACAG